GCUAAGAGAUCAGCCUAUGUCCUAUCAGCUUGUUGGUAAGGUAAUGGCUUACCAAGGCUAUGACGGGUAUCCGGCCUGAGAGGGUGAACGGACACACUUGGAACUGAGACACGGUCCAGACUCCUACGGGAGGCAGCAGUAGGGAAUAUUGCUCAAUGGGGGAAACCCUGAAGCAGCAACGCCGCGUGGAGGAUGAAGGUUUUAGGAUUGUAAACUCCUUUUGUUAGAGAAGAUAAUGACGGUAUCUAACGAAUAAGCACCGGCUAACUCCGUGCCAGCAGCCGCGGUAAUACGGAGGGUGCAAGCGUUACUCGGAAUCACUGGGCGUAAAGAGCGCGUAGGCGGGAUAGUCAGUCAGGUGUGAAAUCCUAUGGCUUAACCAUAGAACUGCAUUUGAAACUACUAUUCUAGAGUGUGGGAGAGGUAAGGUGGGAAUUCUUGCGUGUAGGGGUAAAAUCCGUAGAGAUCAAGAGGAAUACUCAUUGCGAAGGCGACCUGCUGGAACAUUACUGACGCUGAUUGC
rnacentral:rRNA from 1 species